GUGAAUCAUCGAAUCUUUGAACGCACCUUGCGCUCCUUGGUAUUCCGAGGAGCAUGCCUGUUUGAGUGUCAUUAAAUUCUCAACCUCACCAGUUUUGUAACGAGACUGUGUAAGGCUUGGAUGUGGGGGUUUUUGCAGGCUGCCUCUGUGCGGUCUGCUCCCCUGAAAUGCAUUAGCGAGUUCACUAAGCUCCGUCUAUUGGUGUGAUAAUUAUCUACGCCGUGGAAUGGGUUUAGACUUGCUUCUAACCGUCUGCAAAGACAACUUUUGACAAUUUGACCUCAAAUCAGGUAGGACUACCCGCUGAACUUAA
rnacentral:rRNA from 1 species